CGGUAUUGCAAUGAGAACAAUUUAAAACCCUUAGCGAGAAUCAAGUGGAGGACAAGUCUGGUGCCAGCACCCGCGGUAAUUCCAGCUCCACUAGCGUAUAUUAAAGUUGUUGCAGUUAAAAAGCUCGUAGUUGAACCUCUGUCUGGGCUAGUUUUGGCUUUGGUCAGGCUAGUUCUAGGCAUCCGCCUACAAGACUUAGAGGGCAUUCAGUUGUUCACUAGGAGGAGUAGGCAUUUUACUUUGAAAAAAUUAGAGUGUUUAAGGCAGGCAAUUGCCCGCAUAUAUUAGCAUGGAAUAAUAGAAUAGGACACUUUUCCAUUUCGUUGGUUAUUGGAAUCGUGUAAUGAUUAAUAGGGACAGUUGUGGGCAUUUGUAUUUAAUUGUCAGAGGUGAAAUUCUUGGAUUUAUUAAAGACAAACUAGCGCGAAAGCAUUUGCCAAGGAUGUUUUCAUUAAUCAAGAACGAAAGUUAGGGGAUCAAAGACGAUCAGAUACCGUCCUAGUCUUAACUAUAAACUAUUCCGACUCAAUGUUUGACUGGCUUAUAUAACCAGUUGAGCGUUGUAUGAGAAAUCAAAGUCUUUAGGUUCUGGGGGGAGUAUGGUUGCAAAGCUGAAACUUAAAGGAAUUGACGGGAGAGCACAACCAGGAGUGGAUUCUGCGGCUUAAUUUGACUCAACACGGGGAAACUUACCAGGUUAAAACAAUAGUGGGAUUGACAGUUUGAGAGCGCUUUCUUGAUUGGUUGGGUGGUGGUGCAUGGCCGUUCUUAGUUGGUGGAGUGAUUUGUCUGCUUAAUUGCGUUAACGAACGAGACCUUAACCUGCUUACUAGACUGGCGAUCAUCAAUCGUUAGCUCUUCUUAGAGGGACUUUGGUUGUUUUAACUCCAAGGAAGUUUGAGGCAAUAACGGGUCUGUGAUGCCCUUAGAUAUCCUGGGCCGCACGCGUCAUACAAUGACUAGUUCAGAAAGUUUUCUCCUGACCCGAAAGGGGAUGGGUAAUCUUGAUAAUACUAGUCGUGUUAGGGAUCGAUCUUUGCAAUUAUAGAUCUUGAACGAGGAAUUCCUAGUAAGUGCGGUUCAUCAGACCGUACUGAUUACGUCCCUGCUCUUUGUACACACCGCCCGUCGCUUCUACCGAGUGGGUGGUCCGGUGAGAUAAUUGAACUUCGCAGGUAACUGAGAGGAAAGAUUAUCAAACCUAUCCACCU
rnacentral:rRNA from 1 species